CUUUGGCUAAGAGGAAUGUGAGCCAGCAGUGUGGCUGGGAUGAAACUACCUGCCUGUGGAAGUUACGGGCUUGGAGCAAACACAGCAUCCGAACACACUGGAAUCGCAGCGCUGUCUUAACACAAGGACUCAGAAUCACACCGAUGAAUUCCUGGACCCAGUUGUGCCUGACACCAGCUUCCUGUGUUUGAGAGCAAAAAAUUGGGAAUAACCUAAACAUUCAUCAGUACAGGAUUGACUGAGUCAAGGGCAAUCUACUUCUAAAACGCAACGAGAUUUUCCGUUUUGAAAGUGUGGUAGACCCGAUGGUUUGGACGACAGCCCAGGAUGUAAGUGGGACGAGAAGACAGAGACAGAGAGAGGUUGUUUGACUCACCCAAGGUCAUCGCAGCAAGUGAACAGGAAAACAGAGAUGAGACAGUGAGGCACAGAGAGAAGCAGCAGCUUGAUGGAGGAGCCAUGACUCGUCGUUGUUGGAGGCUGGGAUGUCAAGAUUUUAUAAGAAAAGCCAGUGGGCUCCCAGACAGAGUUAAAAAGGUGUCUCCCUGAACAACGAGACCUCCUGCGUCCUGGGCAGUCCCUCACCUCCCUGCCUCUGCGCUCAGAAGCCGUGGCCUCUGCCUGCUCAUGGUCCCAGCCUUCCUCCAUCACCGAAGGCCCUGGGCUUUGCCUGUUUGAUUUCUCUUUUCUGAGAAGCAUCUGCACCUGCCCCACCAGAGGAGCCCUCCCUUUCUCAGCUCCAAUCCCAGCUGCUUUUAAUUUCUUAAUUAUCGGCCAUGAGCAGUCUGUUCCUUAGUGACUGAGAAGUAAGGGAUGCCAGGAUCUCUCUGCCUUUCCUCCAGAACUCAUCUCAAGUCACCUGCAAAGAAGCGGCCUUCCCUGAUCAGUGCUCAGUCUGUUUGGGCUGCUCCUGGUCUGGCCGUUAUGGUCCUGCUGACCUUGUGUUUUUUUGGCUCCAAAUCUCCAGCAACUGACAAAGCAUCCGGUACACAGGAGAUGUUCAAUACAUGCUUUUUGACCAAGUGAAUGCCACAAGUAAACUAGGCCUGGUGUUCAGUCAGGUCCUUCCUAGCGCAAAUGUGAGAGAAUGGAGGCUCCAAGGAGUCAAGCAACGUAUCCAACCAAGAUCAUCUCCAAGAAGAGGUUUGAAGGUCUGUGACGGUGACGCAGACUGCACCACGCUGUCUUGGCUCGGCUGAUGAGUGAAGCUGGUGGUUAAGUCUUCUACUUGGAUG